UCCGAAGGGGGCUAUCGUUGUUCGGAAUUACUGGGCGUAAAGCGCACGUAGGCGGAUUGGCAAGUCAGGGGUGAAAUCCCGGAGCUCAACUCCGGAACUGCCUUUGAUACUGCCUGUCUAGAGUCCGGAAGAGGUGGGUGGAAUUCCUAGUGUAGAGGUGAAAUUCGCAGAUAUUAGGAAGAACACCAGUGGCGAAGGCGGCCCACUGGUCCGGAACUGACGCUGAGGUGCGAAAGCGUGGGGAGAAAACAGG
rnacentral:rRNA from 1 species